GACGAACGCUGGCGGCGCGCUUAACACAUGCAAGUCGAGCGGUAAGGCCCUUUCGGGGGUACACGAGCGGCGAACGGGUGAGUAACACGUGGGUGACCUGCCCUCAGCUCUGGGAUAAGCCUGGGAAACCGGGUCUAAUACCGGAUAUGACUCCAUGACGCAUGUUGUGGGGUGGAAAGCCUUGUGCGGCUGAGGAUGGGCCCGCGGCCUAUCAGCUUGUUGGUGGGGUGAUGGCCUACCAAGGCGACGACGGGUAGCCGGCCUGAGAGGGCGACCGGCCACACUGGGACUGAGACACGG
rnacentral:rRNA from 1 species